rnacentral:rRNA from 1 species
UACGUAGGGGGCGAGCGUUGUCCGGAAUCAUUGGGCGUAAAGAGCUCGUAGGCGGUUCAGUAAGUCGGCUGUGAAAUUCCGAGGCUCAACCUCGGAACUGCAGUCGAUACUGCUGUGACUCGAGUCCGGUAGAGGAGAAUGGAAUUCCCGGUGUAGCGGUGAAAUGCGCAGAUAUCGGGAGGAACACCAGUAGCGAAGGCGGUUCUCUGGGCCGGUACUGACGCUGAGGAGCGAAAGCGUGGGGAGCAAACAGG